rnacentral:rRNA from 1 species
AAUAUUUCACAAUGGGCGUAAGCCUGAUGCAGCGACGUCGCGUGGGGGAUGACGGCGUUCGGGUUGUAAACCUCUUCCUACGCGCACGAGGUGAAAAUGACGGUACCUGGUUAAUUAGAAGCGGCGAAUCACCUUCCAGCACUCGCGGUAACACGUAGGGUGCGAGCGUUGUCCGGAAUUACUGGGUGUAAAGAGCUCGUAGGUGGUUUGUCACGUCGUCUGUGAAAUUCCGGGGCUUAAACUCGGGCGUGCAGGCGAUACGGGCAAUACUUGAGUGCUGUAGGGGAGACUGGAAUUCCUGGUGUAGCGGUGAAAUGCGCAGAUAUCAGGAGGAACACCAAUGGCGAAGGCAGGUCUCUGGGCAGUUACUGACGCUGAGGAGCGAAAGCAUGGGUAGCGAACAGG